rnacentral:rRNA from 1 species
UGGGGAAUCUUGCGCAAUGGUCGAAAGACUGACGCAGCGACGCCGCGUGUGGGAUGACGCCUUUCGGGGUGUAAACCACUGUUGCCCGGGACGAAUCCUGGAUUUCGAUCCAGUUGACGGUACCGGGUGAGGAAGCACCGGCUAACUCUGUGCCAGCAGCCGCGGUAAUACAGAGGGUGCGAGCGUUGUCCGGAAUCACUGGGCGUAAAGGGCGCGUAGGCGGCUUGGGAAGUCCGUGGUGAAAGCUCGUGGCUCAACUGCGAGUCGGCCAAGGAUACUCCUAAGCUCGAGUCGACUAGAGGCAGAUGGAAUUCCGGGUGUAGCGGUGGAAUGCGUAGAGAUCCGGAAGAACACCGGUGGCGAAGGCGGUCUGCUGGGGUCGAACUGACGCUGAGGCGCGACAGCGUGGGGAGCAAACAGGAUUAGAUACCCCCGUAGUCC